rnacentral:rRNA from 1 species
UACAGGGGGGGGCAAGCGUUGUUCGGACUUACUGGGCGUAAAGGGCUCGUAGGCGGCCAACUAAGUCACACGUGAAAUCCCCAGGCUUAACCUGGGAACUGCGUGUGAUACUGGAUGGCUUGAAUCCGGGAGAGGGAUGCGGAAUUCCAGGUGUAGCGGUGAAAUGCGUAGAUAUCUGGAGGAACACCGGUGGCGAAGGCGGCAUCCUGGACCGGUAUUGACGCUGAUGAGCGAAAGCCAGGGGAGCAAACGGG